rnacentral:piRNA from 1 species
AUUAUAUGAGUCAGUGUUGUGCCU